rnacentral:snRNA from 1 species
AUACUUACCUGGAUGGGGUCAAUGGGUGAUCAAUAAGGCUCAUGGCCUAGGUUGAUGGCAUCCAUUGCACUUUGGAAGGGUGUUAAUCUUUUGCUUUAUUGGUGGAGCCUACGUCAUAAUUUAAUCUAAGAUUUGCUUUAUUGGUGGAGCCUACGUCAUAAUUUAUGAUAGAGGGUGCUUGCGUCUGUGCAGCCCCUAC